AUACGUAGGGUGCGAGCGUUGUCCGGAAUUACUGGGCGUAAAGAGCUCGUAGGUGGUUUGUCGCGUCGUCUGUGAAAUUCCGGGGCUUAACUCCGGGCGUGCAGGCGAUACGGGCAAUACUUGAGUGCUGUAGGGGAGACUGGAAUUCCUGGUGUAGCGGUGAAAUGCGCAGAUAUCAGGAGGAACACCAAUGGCGAAGGCAGGUCUCUGGGCAGUAACUGACGCUGAGGAGCGAAAGCAUGGGUAGC
rnacentral:rRNA from 1 species